rnacentral:tRNA from 3 species
GGAGGGGUGACAGAGCGGACGAAUGUGACGGUCUCGAAAACCGUUGGGCCUUUCGGGGUCCCGAGGGUUCAAAUCCCUCCCCCUCCGCCA